rnacentral:rRNA from 1 species
UACAGAGACUGCAAGCGUUAUUCGGAUUCACUGGGCGUAAAGGGUGCGCAGGCGGCCAAGUGUGUGAGGCGUGAAAGCCUGGGGCUUAACUCCAGAAUUGCACCUCAAACUACAUGGCUAGAGCAUUGGAGAGGGUAGCAGAAUUCACGGUGUAGCAGUGAAAUGCGUAGAUAUCGUGAGGAAUACCAGAGGCGAAGGCUGGCUACCUGGACAAUUGCUGACGCUCAGGCACGAAAGCGUGGGGAGCAAAAGGG